ensembl:lncRNA
GACACAGAUUUUCCGAUUUGGAUCCUGGACAGACUAAUUUGUCAUGUCACAAUCCCCCAGAGACCAGGUCCGCGGUGCAUACACUCGCUCGCUCAGUGCCCCCCAGCCAGCUCUCGCCUCCGCGCCACCAGCUGCGCCCUGCACUCUCCUCGCUGCACCCCACGACCUAGAGCCAAAAAAGUUCCUGCAGCCAGUGAGGGCCACAGAGGACAGCACGCCCACGGAGUGCCAUCCAGACCAACAUGGCCCCGCCGGCGAGAGGGGAACACCCCGAGCCCAGGCGGCAGCGGCUAGCUCAAGUCUGUGACCCCCACCCCUCUGCCCACCAUGGGCGCUGCUGCCCGCGAUCUGAUUCUUUCUCCACAUAAGCACUGUAUUGGGAGAUGGUGUAGAUAAAGUUUCAUGCAUUGGAGAAGGAAAUGGCAACCCACUCCAGUGUUCUUGCCUGGAGAAUCUCAGGGACGGGAGACCUGGUGGGCUGCCAUCUAUGGGGUCGCACGUAGUCUGACACAACUGAAGCGACUUAGCAGCAGCAGCAGCUGUAAUCUGAAUGGCACACUGGAACAAGAGCUGAGGUAUCCCACCUGCAAGUCCUCUGGUCAUUGCAGCCCAGACCUCCAUCACAGUCACACUGACCUGGAGAGUGUUCCAGACCCAUCACCCCUUGGACCCACUGCCUGGUUUCUCCUCAGUCUGUGGAGCUAGACUGGGUCCAGACUUUGGCCUUGCUUCCUGCUGGGUAUGGGGUAUACAACACGUGUUGGCUUCAGUUUCCUCAUUUGAAAAAUGGAUAUAUUAACAAGACAUACCUCUUGGGGCUUUUAAUGAAGACUGGUAGAUCGCUGUUCAGUUGAGUUCAGUUCGGUUUCUCAGUCGUGUCCGACUCUUUGCAACCCCAUGAAUCGCAGCAUGCCAGGCCUCCCUGUCCAUCACCAACUCCCAGAGUCCACCCAAACUCAUGUCUAUUGAGUCAGUAAUGCCAUCCAACCAUCUCAUCCUCUGUCGUUCCCUUCUCCUCCUGCCCUCAAUCUUUCCCAGCAUCAGGGUCUUUUCCAAUGAGUCAGCUCUUCGCAUCAAGUGGUCAGAGUACUGGAGUACCAGCUUCAGCAUCAGUCCUUCCAAUGAACACCCAGGACUGAUUUCCUUUAGGAUGGACUGGUUGGAUCUCCUUGCAGUUGAAGGGAUUGUCAGGAGUCUUCUCCAACACCACAGUUCAAAAGCAUCAAUUCUUCGGUGCUGAAGUACUGCCAAACCCAGUGAGUCAUGCCUCCCUGAACCCAUGCCCUUGUGAGAUCCCCUGUGAUAUUGAUUUGGUUUCACCAUGUGGCCUCUUUGGGCAAAGACAGAAGCAGAGGCUUGAUCAGUGUGUGAACAUUGUGUUUUUACACUCUCUCGUUUGCUGCUUUUUUGAAUGCAGCCACCACUUGGAGAAGCCUGGGUAGACUUGCUGGUUGAUGAGAGACAACUGUUCAGCUAACCCACCCCCAUCCCACCUUCCCUUGGUCAACUACUAGACAUGUAAAUGAGGCCAUUUGGAACUAGUCAGUCUGGCUAACUUGCCAAGUGAUUGUAAACACAUGAAUGCUUCCAGGUGACACUAUAUGGAGCAGAGAUGAAUUUUACCAACUAAAUCCAAAUUGCCAACCCACAGAAUCUUUAGCAAUUAAGUGAUGAUUGAGUUAUUCAGUUUUGGAGCAAUUUCUUA